CAAUUAGGUGAACCUGCGGAAGGAUCAUUACCGAGUUCAUGC
rnacentral:rRNA from 1 species